rnacentral:tRNA from 1 species
GCCUUCGUGGUGUAACUGAAAGCAUACUCGACCCGUAUUCCAGAGGUCCGGCGUUCGAAUCCCGGCGCGGGCA